rnacentral:rRNA from 1 species
UGGGGAAUAUUGCACAAUGGGCGCAAGCCUGAUGCAGCCAUGCCGCGUGUGUGAAGAAGGCCUUCGGGUUGUAAAGCACUUUCAGCGAGGAGGAAGGUGGUGAACUUAAUACGUUCAUCAAUUGACGUUACUCGCAGAAGAAGCACCGGCUAACUCCGUGCCAGCAGCCGCGGUAAUACGGAGGGUGCAAGCGUUAAUCGGAAUUACUGGGCGUAAAGCGCACGCAGGCGGUUUGUUAAGUCAGAUGUGAAAUCCCCGGGCUCAACCUGGGAACUGCAUUUGAAACUGGCAAGCUAGAGUCUCGUAGAGGGGGGUAGAAUUCCAGGUGUAGCGGUGAAAUGCGUAGAGAUCUGGAGGAAUACCGGUGGCGAAGGCGGCCCCCUGGACGAAGACUGACGCUCAGGUGCGAAAAGCGUGGGGAGCAAAACAGGAUUAGAUACCCUGGUAGUCCACGCUGUAAAACGAUGUCGAUUUUGGAGGUUGUGCCCUUGAGGCGUGGCUUCCGGAGCUAACGCGUUAAAUCGACCACCUGGGGAGUACGGCCGCAAGGUU